AUACAGAGGGUGCGAGCGUUAAUCGGAAUUACUGGGCGUAAAGCGCGCGUAGGCGGCUUAUUAAGUCAGAUGUGAAAUCCCCGGGCUCAACCUGGGAACUGCAUCUGAUACUGGUAAGCUAGAGUUUUGGAGAGGGAAGUAGAAUUUCAGGUGUAGCGGUGAAAUGCAUAGAGAUCUGAAGGAAUACCAGUGGCGAAGGCGACUUCCUGGCCAAAAACUGACGCUGAGGUGCGAAUGCGUGGGUAGCAAACGGGAUUAGAAACCCUAGUAGUCC
rnacentral:rRNA from 1 species